rnacentral:rRNA from 1 species
UACGUAGGGGGCAAGCGUUGUCCGGAAUCAUUGGGCGUAAAGAGCGUGUAGGCGGCCUGGUAAGUCCGCUGUGAAAGUCCAGGGCUCAACCCUGGAAUGCCGGUGGAAACUGUCAGGCUCGAGUCCGGAAGAGGCGAGUGGAAUUCCUGGUGUAGCGGUGAAAUGCGCAGAUAUCAGGAGGAACACCAAUGGCGAAGGCAGCUCGCUGGGACGGUACUGACGCUGAGACGCGAAAGCGUGGGGAGCAAACAGG